ensembl:lncRNA
UUACAUACAUAAUGUGGGAUUCCAACUAUAUGAUAUUCUGCAAAAAGCUCUGAAAAAGACGUUCUGGAAACAGUUGCCAGGGAUGGGGGAGGGAGGGAUGGCUAGGUGGACUUUCAGGAUAGUGAAACUAUUCUGAAUGAUACUCUAAGGUGGAUACAAACCUUAGAGUUUGUAUCUUACAGGAUAGUGAAACUAUUCUGAAUGAUACUCUAAAGUAGAUACAAACCUUAGAGUUUGUGUCUUACAGGAUAGUGAAACUAUUCUGAAUGAUACUCUAAAGUGGAUACAAACCUUAGGGCAGAUACAAAUCCAUAAAUUAUGCAACAGAGUAAACUCAAACUUCAGCUAUGAACUUUAGUUAACAAUAAUGUAUCCGUAUUGGUUCAUCAUUGUAACAAGUGGGCCAUCGCUGCAACAAAUGUAACAUUAAGGCA